rnacentral:miRNA from 1 species
AUCUUUUGUUCAGUAGUGAUUGUUUAUCUGCAUUUAAAAUGCAGAUUUUCUCGGAUAAACAAUCACUACUGAACAAAAGAUCAGAAUUAAUA